GCGAAACUGCGAAUGGCUCAUUAUAUAAGUUAUCGUUUAUUUGAUAGUACCUUACUACUUGGAUAACCGUGGUAAUUCUAGAGCUAAUACAUGCUAAAAAUCCCGACUUCGGAAGGGAUGUAUUUAUUAGAUUAAAAACCAAUGCCCUUCGGGGCUCUCUGGUGAUUCAUGAUAACUUCUCGAAUCGCACGGCCUUGUGCCGGCGAUGGUUCAUUCAAAUUUCUUCCCUAUCAACUUUCGAUGUUUGGGUCUUGGCCAAACAUGGUUGCAACGGGUAACGGAGGGUUAGGGCUCGACCCCGGAGAAGGAGCCUGAGAAACGGCUACUACAUCCAAGGAAGGCAGCAGGCGCGCAAAUUACCCAAUCCCGACUCGGGGAGGUAGUGACAAUAAAUACUGAUACAGGGCUCUUUUGGGUCUUGUAAUUGGAAUGAGUACAAUUUAAAUCCCUUAACGAGGAACAAUUGGAGGGCAAGUCUGGUGCCAGCAGCCGCGGUAAUUCCAGCUCCAAUAGCGUAUAUUAAAGUUGUUGUGGUUAAAAAGCUCGUAGUUGAACCUUGGGCCUGGCUGGCCGGUCCGCCUCACCGCGUGUACUGGUCCGGCCGGGUCUUUCCCCCUGUGGAACCCCAUGCCCUUCACUGGGUGUGGCGGGAAAACAGGACUUUUACUUUGAAAAAAUUAGAGUGCUCCAGGCAGGCCUAUGCUCGAAUACAUUAGCAUGGAAUAAUAGAAUAGGACGUGUGGUUCUAUUUUGUUGGUUUCUAGGACCGCCGUAAUGAUUAAUAGGGACAGUCGGGGGCAUCAGUAUUCAAUCGUCAGAGGUGAAAUUCUUGGAUUGAUUGAAGACUAACUACUGCGAAAGCAUUUGCCAAGGGAUGUUUUCAUUAAUCAGGAACGAAAGUUAGGGGAUCGAAGACGAUCAGAUACCGUCGUAGUCUUAACCAUAAACUAUGCCGACUAGGGA
rnacentral:rRNA from 1 species